GUGCCUUUAGCUCAGUUGGUUAGAGCGCUCGACUCAUAAUCGAGCGGCCGUUGGUUCGAGUCCAACAAGGCACACCA
rnacentral:tRNA from 2 species